UUGGCAUAUUCACAAGAAAUCUAGAGGCAAGCACUAAAAAAACAAGGGGCCCCACAAAAUUAGCACAAAAUAUGUAAAAAAAAAAUGGCAUCCAAUAUGGAUGCCUGAAAUAUCAAAGUGGAUGCCCUUAGAAUGCCUGUAUGAGAAGGAGAUUGACCCCAAUUGGACAAAGGCUACUAUUAUAUUUAUUUAUUUAUUUAUUUAUUUAUUUAUUUACAUCACUUCUAUCCCGCCUUUCUCACCCGAGGGGACUCAUAGCGGCUUACAAAUCUGACAAAAUUCAAUGCCAAUAAACAGCAACACGAUAGAAUAAAACAUAAAAGAGUUAAAACAAUUAAGCAAUAACAAUAAACCAAUAUACAAAUUUAAAACCAUAUACAGUGCUUAAAACCUUUCAUCCGCAAGAUCUUACACAUAAACCUUGAUCCAGAUGGUUUUAUAACUUGGAUUCUGUGGAAGCAUGUUUCUUCACACAGGAAACACAAACAGGACAAUUUAACUUUAAAAUACACUUCUCCUAGGAUUUGACACCAACACUCUAAAAUUAUAGAGUCUCAAUAUAGUCCUCAGCCUUACUUCCCUGAAGGCUCUUAACUAUAUUCUUCAAAGAAGUUUCUUUUUAAAAUCACAGUUCCCAAACCUAUGUCUUCUUAUGUCAAACUACAACUAACCAACUGACUAACUGAAAGAAUUUUUCGGCUGCCUAGCUCCAACUGUCACUAUGGCUUCGCCCAUCUCCAGUUGCUAAGCAAAUUCUCCCUGUUUGCAUCAGACGGCACUUUCAGUAAUGGCUGCCUGAAUGCUCUUCCCACUUGCUUAGCUUAGCUUUUGUAAGCAAGGCCUGAAAAUGGCUGUACACCAGCCCUGCAGGGCAGGCCACUCACCAACCCUGUAAGGGUUCUUAGAAAUCCAGCCAGAAGCGGGAACAGAGGAAUCCAGAGCUGAAAAUAUGGUCACACUAAUGCAAACUGAUUAAAUAGAUGCCAAAAUAGAA